AUUGAACGCUGGCGGCAUGCCUAACACAUGCAAGUCGAGCGGAUGAAGGGUGCUUGCUCCUGGAUUCAGCGGCGGACGGGUGAGUAAUACCUAGGAAUCUGCCUGGUAGUGGGGGAUAACGUCCGCAAACGGGCGCUAAUACCACAUACGUGCUGAGGCAGAAAGAGGGGGAUCUUUGGAACGCAUGCUCUCAUGUGAGUCUAGGUCCGAUUAAAUAGUUGGUGGGGUAAGUGCCGACCAAGGCGGCCAUCCGUGACUGGUCUGAGAGGCUGAUCAGUCACACUGGAGCUGGGACACGGUCCAGACUCCUACGGGAGGCAGCAGUGGGGAACAUUGGACAGUGGGCGAAAGCCUGAUCCAGCCAUGCCGCGUGUGUGAAGGAGGUCUUCGGAUUGUAAAGCACUUUUAGUUGGGGGGAAGGGCAGUAAGUUAAUACCUUGCUGUUUUGACGGUACCAACAGAAGAAGCACCGGCUAACUACGUG
rnacentral:rRNA from 1 species